rnacentral:rRNA from 1 species
ACGCACGCUGGCGGCGUGCUUAACCCCUGCAAGUCGCACGGAAAGGCCUCUUUCGGGGGGUACUCGAGUGGCGAACGGGUGAGUAACACGUGAGUAACCUGCCCUUGACUUUGGGAUAACUUCAGGAAACUGGGGCUAAUACCGGAUAGGAGCUCCUGCUGCAUGGUGGGGGUUGGAAAGUUUCGGCGGUUGGGGAUGGACUCGCGGCUUAUCAGCUUGUUGGUGGGGUAGUGGCUUACCAAGGCUUUGACGGGUAGCCGGCCUGAGAGGGUGACCGGCCACAUUGGGACUGAGAUACGGCCCAGACUCCUACGGGAGGCAGCAGUGGGGAAUAUUGCACAAUGGGUGGAAGCCUGAUGCAGCAACGCCGUGUGCGGGAUGACGGCCUUCGGGUUGUAAACCGCUUUCGCUCAUGACGAAGCUUUGUGUGACGGUAGUGGGUAAAGAAGCACCGGCUAACUACGUG